UAGUUAUUUAUAUGUCUAUGCGUGCGACUGCUUUAUGUGCAUUUUUGGAAAACGCACGUGAAACAAUAACAAAGAUUGUAAAAUUACUCGUAGAAAACGUUCUUAAUCGCUAAGAUCAAUCAUUAUCGGGAAACCCGGGAAGCCGACGAUCAAAUAAAAGACUUACUGGAUUUGAAUGACAAUUUCUGUUCUUAUGAACUGGGACUUCAGGAGCCUGAUCGAGACGGUUCGCAGCACGACGCCCGCGGCGACGAUCGUCGUGUCAGGACCACUGCCCACGUAUCGACGAGGACACGAAAGGUUCAGUAGACUUUUUGCUUUAAAUGAAUGGUUGUUGUCAUGGUGUAAAGAACAGAAACUGCUAUUUGUUAAUAACUGGAAUCUUUUCUGGGAGCGUCCUAGACUGUUUCGCGCUGAUGGAUUACACCCCCAGCAGAAUCUGAGUGGAUCUUCUCUCUGACAACAUCUCCAGGACACUUCACUCCAUGUGACUAGAUUUACACAAGCUCCAGUCUGGAUCCAGAACACCUGAGAAGAGAUGAUGCUGACCCUCAGAGGACCCCAGAUGAUGCUACCCUGAAUCAACAAACAGAACUAACAAUUAUUGCUAAAUGUGUGACUGAAUCAUAUAAUAACUUAAUUAAUAAUAUUGAUAGUUCAUCGUCUAGCUGACUACGUCUUGUAUUAUUAUUAUUAUUAUUCUAUUUUUUCUAAAAUCCUGUCAAAUGUGCACAAACUACUAGCUACUAAAUAUUGUAGAAACAUAAUUUUCUGUAAAGUUGCUUUGUAACGAUUUGUUUUGUAAAAAGUGCUAUACAAAUAAACUUGAAUUGAACUGAA